rnacentral:rRNA from 1 species
AUGUACACUCUUCACCGGACAAAGGAAGUACACAGAAGGACAAAACAACAAGGCACCCUUUUCCAUCACGUGACAUAUCCACCGCUAGAAGAGCAGCAGCAGCCUUUUCCAUCACGUGGCAACGAAGGAGACCGAAAAUACUACCACAAGAAAGAAGAAUCGUCUUGGUCUCAAAUCAAUGACAUGCACUUCGAUGACCAUGAGUUCGAGGUGGACGAGGAUGGUGAGGGCAUUGUCGACGCACAGAAAGGAAGAGCAGGCAAUUACACCAACGCUGAAGACAUCUUACUAUGCAAUACUUGGUUGCAAGUGUCGAGGGAUCCAUCCGUUGGAGGUGAUAAAAGUAGAGAUGCUUAUUGUCUUCGGAUGAAGGAACACUUUGAUGUUCGCAAUGUGAGUGGAAUUGACCGCUCCGAUCGAUCUCUUCGGUCCUGGUGGUCGACAAUCAACAAGGAUUGUCAAAAGUGGGCGGCCGCACAAAAGGCGGUUGACAAGUUGAACCCAAGUGGCACUAAUGAGGACGAUAGAGUAAGUGUCAUUUCAUCCAUGUUCGUCAUGCUUGUUGUUGGUGUUUGA